GUUACCGAUGCAAAAAAUCGUUGUUUUGUAGGCCAGGGUUCCAAUGGGUCGGGGACAACCUUCAAAUGGAGGAUCGAUGGUUUCUCCGCGCUUCUAGAUAAGGAUGAAGGAUGGACCAACUCCAGUGUGUUUGUGAUCAAGGGGCUUAACUGGUACCUGAAGCUGAACCCAAGGGACAGAAAGAGUGGCGACCAGAAUGAAUAUGUUACUCUUAAUCUUGUCCUGACUAAAGUAUCUGAGAAAUCCCAUACGGUCGCGGAGACAACUUUCAAGUUCCUGAUAUAUGACCAGUUACAUGGGAAGCACCAUGAAGAGCAUCAAGUGAGCCACAAUUUUCAGGCUACAAGCAGAUUCUCUGGGACCUCAUGCAUGAUCCCCCUCGCGACGCUUAAGGAGCAGCCCUCUGGAUUCCUCGUCAAUGACAGCUGUGUUUUCGGUGUCCAGUUCAUCAAAGUUGUCGCUGUUAAAGAACCCGAGCACCUCUCCAGAGUUUCAGCUCUGUGGACACAAAUGGUUCAUCACCAUCUAUCCAUCUGGUUCCGAUUCGAAUGGGAACUACAUCUCCCUGCAUCUGAGCAUGAAGGACACACUCCAUAA
rnacentral:rRNA from 1 species